AGAGUUUGAUCAUGGCUCAGAAUUAACGCUGGCAGAGUGCAUAACACAUGCAAGUCGAGCGGAAUACGUAGCAAUACGUAUUUAGCGGCAGACGAGUGAGUAACACGUAAACAAUCUACCCCCGAAUGGUGAAUAACCUGCCGAAAGGCAGGCUAAUGCGCCGUACUCUCCCCGGAAGGCAUCUUCUGGGGAGGAUAGACCCGCAAGGGUUGUUCAGGGAGGAGUUUGCGGCCCAUCAGCUAGUUGGCGGUGUAACGGACCACCAAGGCUACGACGGGUACCCGGGCUGAAAGGCCGGACGGGCACGAUGGCACUGAGACACGGGCCAUACUCCUACGGGAGGCAGCAGUGGGGAAUUUUGGACAAUGGGCGAAAGCCUGAUCCAGCAACUCUGCGUGAGGGACGAAGGUCUUCGGAUCGUAAACCUCUUUUGUAUGGGACGAAAUCCCGCAAGGGUCUGACGGUACCAUACGAAUAAGCAACGGCUAACUAUGUGCCAGCAGCCGCGGUAAGACAUAGGUUGCGAGCGUUAUUCGGAAUUACUAGGCGUAAAGCGAGUGUAGGCGGACCCUUAAGUCUGACGUUAAAUCUCCUGGCUUAACUAGGAGCUGUCGUCGGAUACUGAGGGCCUCGAAUGGGGUAGGGGGCAGCGGAAUUCCCGGUGUAGCGGAAAUGCGUAGAUAUCGGGAGGAACACCUAUGGCGAAAGCAGCUGCCUGGGCCUCUAUUGACGCUAAGACUCGAAAGCUGGGGGAGCAAACAGGAUUAGAUACCCUAGUAGUCC
rnacentral:rRNA from 1 species